CACACGGGAUGUUUGAAGAAGCCUUCUGGCAGCCACUUCGUUUUCUCUUCUCCCUAAUCUGCUUCCUUCCUGAGUUAGCUCUCUCGCCCGCGGCUUAUCAACUUCCUGUGUUGCAUGAUCCAGGUUUCUGUCUCUUUAUGCUUCCACAUCAUGGAAGCAAAAGAGCCUAUUUUGGAGAGGGAGACUGGCAAGACAGGGCAGUCUGUCCCCACCUCUCUCCUGCCUAGUGCUCAGCGCUCUCCCUGGCUACCACUUCAGGCCUGUAAUGAUGUUUGUUUCUAGUCACUUUAUGGCUGUGCUGCUGCAAUUUUAGGGCCUUUUGAGCUGAAUGGCAGGAUAGCUUCCUCAGUCAUGGACUGUUCUAAAAGGACUGAAUCAUUAAACCACAGUUGGCUUCCUCCUGCAUUCAUCUUCCGCUGUCUG
rnacentral:lncRNA from 1 species